rfam:Zostera marina strain Finnish scaffold_292, whole genome shotgun sequence.
CCGACCAUAGUUCAGUUGGUAGAGCGGAGGACUGUAGUUGUUUGCAGAAUAAUCCUUAGGUCACUAGUUCGAAUCCGGUUGGUCGGA